AAAAAAAAUUUAAUUUUGUGUGCAAAUAAAUUAAAAAAUUAUGUUCUUUAAAUACAUUUUUUUAAAUUAAGUUUCUGUUAAUGUACGCUCCGUCUGAACAGACUCACGACGAAUCGCGACCGCGCGAUGGCGCUGUGAGACUACCCGUGGCAAUCUUGAGUUGUGCAAUCUAUUAUAUCCUCGCCCCCCCCCUUCCCUCUCGUCUUUUCUUUUGCUUCUUCCGGUCUCGCGUUGCUCGCCCUGAGUGUCCUCCCUGACUCGCGUGUAUUCAAUAAAGAUCUGCUUGUUCUCGACAUUCUCGCCGUUAUAUUUUUUAUCCCGCUGGCCGUCCUCAAAGGCUCUGCAGCCUCUGAUUCCAACAGUUUCCUUACUCUUCCUAACUCUUUUUAAUUAGAACACUUUUACUUUGGCUCAAAUACAAAUAUAUAUUUUUUAUAUUUCUUAUAAUUUAUUGUUAAUUUUUUUUUAAAAAGUAAAAUACGGAUAAAUCUCAUUUUUCUUCAUUAAAAUUAUAAAAGCUUUUACAAUAUUUGGAAAACUUUUUAGGAACAAUUGAUAACUAUUUUCAAUUCGUAAUUAAUAAAAAAAAGCCCAACGAAAUAAAAAUAUUUUUUAACCAAAAAAA